rnacentral:rRNA from 1 species
GAUGAACGCUAGCUACAGGCUUAACACAUGCAAGUCGAGGGACCGGCGCACGGGUGAGUAACACGUAUCCAACCUGCCCUUUACUCGCGGAUAGCCUUUCGAAAGAAAGAUUAAUACCCAAAGUUAAGGAGGGGGAUGCGUUCCAUUAGGUUGUUGGGGAGGUAACGGCUAACCAAGCCUUCGAUGGAUAGGGGUUCUGAGAGGAAGGUCCCCCACAUUGGAACUGAGACACGGUCCAAACUCCUAGGGGAGGCAGCAGUGAGGAAGAUUGGUCAAUGGGCGUUAGCCUGAACCAGCCAAGUAGCGUGAAGGAUGAAGGCUUAUGGGUCGUAAACUUCUUUUAUAUAAGAAGAUGUAUUAUAUGAAUAAGGAUCGGCUAACUCCGUGCCAGCAGCCGCGGUAAUAC